UACGUAGGGGGCUAGCGUUAUCCGGAAUUACUGGGCGUAAAGGGUGCGUAGGUGGUUUCUUAAGUCAGAGGUGAAAGGCUACGGCUCAACCGUAGUAAGCCUUUGAAACUGGGAAACUUGAGUGCAGGAGAGGAGAGUGGAAUUCCUAGUGUAGCGGUGAAAUGCGUAGAUAUUAGGAGGAGCACCAGUUGCGAAGGCGGCUCUCUGGACUGUAACUGACACUGAGGCACGAAAGCGUGGGGAGCAAACAGG
rnacentral:rRNA from 1 species